rnacentral:rRNA from 1 species
UACGUAGGGGGGCAAGCGUUUGUCCGGAUUUAUUGGGCGUAAAGAGCGUGUAGGCGGCCUUACAGGUCAGCUGUGAAAACUCGAGGCUCAACCUCGAGACGUCGGUUGAAACCGUAAGGCUAGAGUCCGGAAGAGGCGAGUGGAACUCCUGGUGUAGCGGUGGAAUGCGCAGAUAUCAGGAAGAACACCGACGGCGAAGGCAGCUCGCUGGGACGGUACUGACGCUGAGGCGCGAAAGCGUGGGGAGCGAACAGG